AGCUUUUGUUUCUCUUCAAAUUGUAUAAAUCUUUUGCCUUUUACUAAAGAUUUCUGUGGGAGAGACAGCAAGAGUAUAACUCAAUUUUUUGUUGUUCUGCACAAGCAGGGCU
ensembl:snRNA U5 U5 spliceosomal RNA